AUUGAACGCUGGCGGCAGGCCUAACACAUGCAAGUCGAGCGAGCGGCGGACGGGUGAGUAAUGUCUGGGAAACUGCCUGAUGGAGGGGGAUAACUACUGGAAACGGUCGCUAAUACCGCAUACCAUCAGAUGUGCCCAGAUGGGAUGAGCUAGUAGGUGGGGUAACGGCUCCCCUAGGCGACGAUCCAUAGCUGGUCUGAGAGGAUGACCAGCCAAACUGGAACUGAGACACGGUCCAGACGCCUACGUGAGGCAGCAGUGGGGAAUAUUGCACAAUGGGCGCAAGCCUGAUGCAGCCAUGCCGCGUGUGUGAAGAAGGCUUUCGGGUGGUAAAGCUCUGUCAGCGGGGAGGCGUUACCCGCAGAAGAAGCACCGGCUAACUACGUGCCAGCAGCCGCGGUAAUAC
rnacentral:rRNA from 1 species